rnacentral:lncRNA from 1 species
ACCAUUUAAAACAAUAUAACAGUCAUGCUCAUUACGUUUAAUUUAAACAUAAAGUAUUUGCACAAUUACGCAGCGGAUAGAGAUCAACUCAAUCAUGCAAAACAUGUAACAUUCUCAUAUAAUUUAGUUCAAAAACAUCAACGACACAAUCAAAGUGUUCCCUCCCGAUGUUACAUCUAUCAGAGCAUGACCCACUAGGGAGACUACACUAGACUCCAAGCAAUAGCUUCUACUCGACUCAUUUCUCGUUACCU